rnacentral:rRNA from 1 species
UUGUGGUUAAAAAGCUCGUAGUUGGAUCUCAACAGCCUUGAAGCGGUUAACUUUGUAGUUUUACUGCUUUAUAGGCUGUGCUUUUGCUGGAGGUUUAGGGGUGCUCUUGAUCGAGUGUCUCUGGAUGCCAGCAGGUUUACUUUGAAAAAAUUAGAGUGCUCAAAGCAGGCUAAAAUGCCUGAAUAUUCGUGCUUGGAAUAAUAGAAUAGGAUGUCGAUCCUAUUUUGUUGGUUUUCGGGACUCGACAUAAUGAUAAAUAGGGACAGUCGGGGGCAUUUGUAUUCAAACGACAGAGGUGAAAUUCUUGGACCGUUUGAAGACAAACUACUGCGAAAGCAUUUGCCAAGAAUGUUUUCAUUAAUCAAGAACGAAAGUUAGAGGUUCGAAGGCGAUUAGAUACCGCCCUAGUUCUAACCAUAAACGAUGCCAGCUAGCGAUCUGCCUGCGUUUUUACUGUAGACUGGGCAGGAAGCUUCCGGGAAACCAAAGCAUUUGGGUUCCAGGGGAAGUAUGGUUGCAAAGCUGAAACUUAAAGGAAUUGACGGAAGGGCACCACCAG